GGUAUGGAGCCACAGAGAGACCUGGGGACACAAAGGAGUCUAGGGCUGGGAUGCAGAGGAUAGAGAAUGGAUCUUCACGUCACAGGCAUGUAGGGCACCGGAAUCAUGCCAAGGACUAAGUCAAGCUGGCUCCUCUGCUGAGUCAGAAAAAAAGCAAAAACCAAGGCACACUCGCAUGGCUACAAGGCCGUCCCUAAAGCUGCCAGAGGAAGCAUGCACAAAUACCUUGCUUGAUGAUGGGGGGCCUGUAGCUGCUAUCCAUCACGAAGGAGAACAUCUUCCCUCCAGCGCUCAUGGGCCGCAUGUGACCGGCAGGCGAGACCAUGCACCUAGAAUAAUGCCUGGCACGGACAGAGCAGGCCCUCGAAUACUGGUUGAAAGAAUGAAUGAACAAAUCCUUGAGAUUCACACCCAGCUCUUCAGGACCCCCCAGCCCGCUUUCUUUCCAUCCACACUGUGUGGCUCUUGGGCCCUUCUAACACCAUCUGCCGGCUGAAGCUGAGAGCUCUGGAUGGCAGGGACCUUGCCUGUCUCAUUAACCUUUGAUCCUCAACGUCUACUACACCUGACUCUCCGGUGACACUCCAUAAAUGUCUGCCAAGGGAACGUUUCACCAUCUGACCCUUGGAAGGGUUCUGCGGCUACAUUAAAUGGGAAGCACGUCCAACUCCA